rnacentral:lncRNA from 1 species
UUGCUUUGAUGGAAGACCUGUUUGUGUUGUUGUGUGGGUUUGGGUUCACCCGAGGUCCUUUGGCUUGGCACUGGUUGAGCCUUUUGAGAGCCCUCCACCCUUUGGUUUUUUUAUGCAUUUGUUUCUUCUUCUUUUUUUAAAAACAAAAACGUAAUUUCUUUUCAUAAAAAUAAAAUGCACCAUUUGUUUUUAUUAUUAUUUUCUCUUUAAGAAAAUUAAAAUAAACAUAUAUUUUCU